AUUGAACGCUGGCGGCAGGCUUAACACAUGCAAGUCGAGCGAGCGGCGGACGGGUGAGAAAUGUCUGGGAAACUGCCUGAUGGAGGGGGAUAACUACUGGAAACGGUAGCAAAUACCGCAUACCAUCAGAUGUGCCCAGAUGGGAUUAGCUAGUAGGUGGGGUAAUGGCUCACCUAGGCGACGAUCCCUAGCUGGGCGGAGAGGAGGACCAGCCCAACUGGAACUGAGACACGGUCCAGACUCCGUCGUGGGGCAGCAGUGGGGAAUAUUGCAUAAGGGGCGCAAGCCUGAUGCAGCCAUGCCGCGUGUGUGAAGAAGGCCUUCGGGUUGUAAAGCACUUGCAGCGAGGAGGCGUUACUCGCAGAAGAAGCACCGGCUAACUCCGUGCCAGCAGCCGCGGUAAUAC
rnacentral:rRNA from 1 species